rnacentral:rRNA from 1 species
CAGCCGUAAACAAUGUGCGUUAGGUGUGUCGGUAACCACGUGUUACUGAUGCGCCGAAGAGAAAUCGUGAAACGCACCACCUGGGAAGUACGGUCGCAAGGCUGAAACUUAAAGGAAUUGGCGGGGGAGCACCACAACAGGUGGAGCCUGCGGUUUAAUUGGACUCAACGCCGGGAAGCUCACCGGAUAGGACAGCAGAAUGAUUGCCGGGCUGAAGACCCUGCAUGACUAGCUGAGAGGUGGUGCAUGGCGUAGACGU